CACUGUCAUGACUUCUAAACCUGCUGGUCUCUUGUAGCUGAGCUUGACAGAGAUGGUAAUUUCCACCCUGAUGGUUUCCUGAGAGUGGAUGGGGAAGGAAGGUUGACUCCAUCUCUUGUUAAGAGGAAUGAAUUCACGUGGGCAAAGACUGGAAUAAUAUCCAUAUGCAGGAAAACCUUGAGAGGAGUACUGAUGAAUUGGAAGGAAAACCAGUACAAUUAACAAUAAAAUGUUGUCCCUGACAAUGGAAGUGGAAAACUGCAAGGCCUCCAGGAGGGUACAGUGCAGCCUGGUUUAUGGACACCUUUGUGGAUCUGAGGAGCUCAUGCUACAAUUCCCAUGGGCACAUCAGUGGCUUGAGUCUGCAUUUCCUCCAGAUCCAUGGAGCUGGCUGUGCUGGUACCUGAUAAUGCCAGAGACCCCAGCAGCUUUCUACAGUGCUGAUGCAGUGGCCUGUGCUCAGGUGUUUGUUUGGAGUGUACCCAAACUCCUCAUGAAGGGGACAAGAAGAGAAAUUGCACGGACAAGAAUUAAAUGUUCUUCCCUAAGCUGAAUACUGAAAAAAGGAUAUGUUGUGCACCUUGAAAUAAUUUUUUCCUGCUAAAGGAUGAAAUGUGGGGUAGUUGCCCAGGAAAAAAAAUAAUGAUUUGAUUUUUUUGAAGGCAAUUUGAGGUCUAUUCCUAAUCCAAGAGGACAUAAUGGAGGAGGAUCUGUUUCUGCAGGAUACCAUCCAGGCUGGGAUGAGCAUUGCUGAGCUGUAACAACAGCUGGAGUCUGCUUGGACAUAGUUGUACUCAUGACCAAAAACUCCUCUUUGAACUGGAAUGUCCUUUUUGCACCUGUGAUGUGCCUGGUUAAUUGCAAUGAUAGUGCAUGACUGGGGGCAAAGGGGGAGCCCUUGGAGAAAAAGGUGAGUGCUUGGAAAAGGAGACUUGGCAGAUUUUCCUUAAUGACUCCUGUCUCUUUUGGGGAAAAUCUCUUCCACGGAAAAUAAAUUGAAAGAAGGUAAAAGUGACUGAUUUUAGAAGCUGGAGGAGUAAAAUCUGACAAGGUAAAGGUUUAAAGUGCUGUUUGGUGCAUUAAAAUGAUUGUUGUAGCUAUACUUGGAAUGUGGUGCAUAGGCUGACUUCAAAGGAAAAUGGUGCUGUAGUUAAUAUCUUCUGAGAUGUUAAGAAGAGGAGUGUCCAUCAAAGGAUAGAUACUGGCCUCGGAGAAUGAGAGUUAUGUAUAUUAAAAUACUUCUGGGUAAUGACUUGAAUGCACAAUGUCUUAAUGAAGGAUAAAUAAAGGCCAAACGCUAAUGCCCCUUCCUAUUAAACAUGAUGUACCAGCACCAGCUGAAAAUAGAGCCCUUUGCAGGCAGGCCCUUUGAAUUUCUGCAUCUUUGAAGAAAAGGCUGUACAAAGAUUGGUAAGUGCAUUGCCACUUAGCAGCUGUCUAGGAGAACCAAAACAUACCAGCACUACUAGCUAGUCUGCCAAAUCCCUCUGCAAAACAAAAUCCCAAUCAAACUUUAAAUUGCAGGAAAUCAAUAAUUGUAUCCAAUUAUGCAGGAUAAGUGAUCUGGUGCCAAUCUGAUCUCUCACACUUGUGCAGGGUAGACACAAGUGCAGGGGGAUGCUGGUGACAAUUUUUCCUCCAGCAACAUGUGAUGAACAUAAUUCUUGUAAGUGUGACAUUUCCAUGGAAGUUGGUAAUCCCUUACCCUGCAAUUCAAAAGAAGUGGAUUUGAAUUUUAUUUUCUUUUUGGCAUCUACUCACACCUGAGUCGGUAUGAUUGCUCAAAGGUGGAAGACUUGGAUAUGAAGCAAACAGAUUCCUCUCCUCCUGCUGGAGCCAUAAAUCAGCAUUAGCAUGUUCCUGGCCUGAAGCCUGUGUCCUGCCCCCACCUUCUGCACCAGAGGAGCUGGGAAUGUCACAUCCACAGAUCCUGAACCAGGGAAAUUCUCCAAAAUCUUAUCACCCCUUUGACUUUCUCAUGCAAGCGUGCUGCCAGAAGAUGGCCACUGAAAGAGACCUAUUCUCUGCAGCUCACAGCCUGUCCUGGAGAGCAGAAACAUGUUCAGUGCUGAACACUGCAGAAGGGCAACACAUUUUCUGAGCUUGCUGGUGAGCUUAUGCAAGCAGAGCCAGUUGUGUUUGCACAUAUAUGGAUUAUUUUGCCUUAAAAAAAAGAAGUCCUACAACCAAAAAGCCACCCAGAAUUCUAAAGAAGCAGAAGACCAGAUUUGAUGUUUAAUCCUGUAUAAGUUACUGUUAGAUUUAUAGCUAAUCAGUGCCAGGGAGUGGCACGCUUGGAGGAAGAGCCAGUGCCUGCAGCAAAAAUCUGUUUGUAGGAAGCUGUAGUGAUGCCUGUCACUGUUAAAGAAUCUGAUUUAUGGAAGAGAAUCACAAGCUUUAUGGAAGGGAAUUGUGAGACAGGACAGACAGCAUGGAGAAGAUGUAGGGGAUCUAACAAUACUCAGCAGCGCUUCUUGAAAGACAGAAAUAACAACAUGUAUCAGCAGCAGGUAAUCAGCAAAUUGCCCAAUUUGUAAGGCCCCCAUCACAUUUUUCCAUUUGCCCCUUUAUACUUUGGAGGCCUGGUGUGUCUGAAAGCCAGCACACAGCCAGCCCAGUUUCCCUUCUGACCAGCACUGGAGUGAGUUUUAAUGAGAACUGGAGUGGUGGUGGUGGCAGAAACACGUGCUGCCAGAGUGACAUUCUCUCCUGAGCCUUGCUUAUGGUAACAGGGAUGCCUGCUUCUGCUUACAUUCUUGAAUAUUUUAAACCUGACAUUCAUACCCUGUGUUUUACUACCUGCAGGUUUGGCAUAGUUAAUGUGAUUUGAAAAAAAUUCAGCACUGCACAGAAACCUCUGCAACAAGUGUUGUGUAUUAACCAUGUAUAUAUGACAGAAAAAUGUGUAUCCAACUAAAGCCUCUGUUACAUAUACACACGUGCCAGCAACACCUUUAAAGUCUUCAGCAUUUGGUUUUGGUGCUUAAAAUUCAACGAUGCUCAUGCUUCAAAAACUGGAAGGAUAACACGAAGACAUGAGGUGCCUCAGGGCAAUGAAAGUUACUUCUUAGAGGUAUUUGUGACACAUGAUUUAAAAUAGGAUGCUUAGCUUUUAUUACUCCAAAUCAUUUCUGUUGGCCAUAGAUAUACAGGAAUAAAGUAAAUCCAUUCCUAGUCUGUUACUUCUUCUCCUUCACUUCCAAGAAAUGCAAUUUUUGUUUUAAAAAAUGUACAUGUAAUUAAAGGACAUGUAAUUCAGCAGAAAGUCUUUAAAAUGCAUAACUGAUUAUCUACUUCCUGUAAUUGCUGGUUUGUAUAUUGAAACUUAGAUUGAGUUGGCAGACAAUAAAAGAUUAUUUUUUAAUUAGA